AUUAGAUGAGCCUAUAUUAGAUUAGCUAGUUGGUGGGGUAAUAGCCUACCAAGGUAAUGAUCUAUAGCUGAUCUGAGAGGAUGAUCAGCCACACUGGAACUGAGAUACGGUCCAGACUCCUACGGGAGGCAGCAGUGGGGAAUAUUGGACAAUGGGCGAAAGCCUGAUCCAGCCAUGCCGCAUGAGUGAAGAAGGCCUUUGGGUUGUAAAGCUCUUUUAGUGAGGAAGAUAAUGACGGUACUCACAGAAGAAGUCCUGGCUAACUCCGUGCCAGCAGCCGCGGUAAUACGGAGAGGGCUAGCGUUAUUCGGAAUUAUUGGGCGUAAAGGGCGCGUAGGCUGGUUAAUAAGUUAAAAGUGAAAUCCCGAGGCUUAACCUUGGAAUUGCUUUUAAAACUAUUAAUCUAGAGAUUGAAAGAGGAUAGAGGAAUUCCUGAUGUGGAGGUAAAAUUCGUAAAUAUUAGGAGGAACACCAGUGGCGAAGGCGUCUAUCUGGUUCAAAUCUGACGCUGAAGCGCGAAGGCGUGGGGAGCAAACAGGAUUAGAUACCCUGGUAGUCCACGCUGUAAACGAUGAAUGUUAAAUAUGGGGAG
rnacentral:rRNA from 1 species